rnacentral:rRNA from 1 species
UGGGGAAUAUUGCGCAAUGGGGGAAAGCCCUGACGCAGCCAUGCCGCGUGAGUGAAGAAGGUCUUCGGAUCGUAAAGCUCUUUCAACGGUGAAGAUGAUGACGGUAGCCGUAGAAGAAGCCCCGGCUAACUUCGUGCCAGCAGCCGCGGUAAUACGAAGGGGGCAAGCGUUGUUCGGAAUUACUGGGCGUAAAGGGCGUGUAGGCGGUCUAAUCAGUCAGAGGUGAAAGCCCUGGGCUCAACCCAGGAAUUGCCUUUGAUACUGUUAGACUAGAGUUCGGGAGAGGGUAGUGGAAUUCCCAGUGUAGAGGUGAAAUUCGUAGAUAUUGGGAAGAACACCAGUGGCGAAGGCGGCUACCUGGACCGAUACUGACGCUGAGGCGCGAAAGCGUGGGG